UACGGGGGGGAGCAAGCGUUGUUCGGAUUUACUGGGCGUAAAGGGCGCGUAGGCGGCCAGUGCAAGUCAGUUGUGAAAUCUCCGAGCUUAACUCGGAAAGGUCAACUGAUACUGCUCGGCUAGAGUGCGGAAGGGGCACUGGAAUUCUGGUGUAGCGGUGAAAUGCGUAGAUAUCAAGAGGAACACCUGCGGCGAAGGCGGGUUGCUGGGCCGACACUGACGCUGAUGCGCGAAAGCUAGGGGAGCGAACGGG
rnacentral:rRNA from 1 species